AACCAAAACGACUCUCGGCAACGGAUAUCUCGGCUCUCGCAUCGAUGAAGAACGUAGCGAAAUGCGAUACUUGGUGUGAAUUGCAGAAUCCCGUGAACCAUCGAGUUUUUGAACGCAAGUUGCGCCCAAAACCUUCGGGUCGAGGGCACGUCUGCCUGGGUGUCACGC
rnacentral:rRNA from 1 species